GUAAUCAUCCGAAAUCGACUGAAUGUAGGGUUAGUCAUAUGAUUUUGUUUUGGGGAUUUCGGUGAAGUUUUCUAGUUUUUGAUCUACGGACAAAAAGCUGGAAGAUGGCGAUAGGAGUGAAGGAUUUAUGAUCUUUUCAAGCGGCUUCGGAUUAGCAGAAUGUAGAGGUUAUUCGCAGAGUUUGAGCUUGAUUCAUACGGAAUCGAAUUUCGAGUUUCUGCUUCUAACAAGCGAUAUCGUGGGUAUACAGAGUCAACUUCUUUAAGCGAAAAGGUAUUCUAAUUUCUCAAGAAUCCAGCUUCAGUUGUCGUGGACUUUUUCUCAGCUUUGAAAAGGAAACUUGAGUGAGGCUAUUAAAUCAGAGCUGCGUGUAGAAUUAGCUUGUUAUGUGGAUUUGUGAACAGGUUUUUAGUUUUCAGCUCAUGGGUGGUUUAAAAGUAGCGAACUUGGAGUUAUUUUGCCUUGCGUAUCUACAAAACGAAGUUUGACAUUAUAGUCGUCAAUCUUGUUGGCCUAUGAAACAAUAUUUGACUAUACAUUGCAUCAAUCCCUGGCUUCACGCGCAGAAGAGGCAAAAACAAAAAACAAAAACGCUUUUUUUUGGGUUUCUAUGGCUUGAUGAAACCUCAAUACAUGUGCUAUGCUGCUUAAAUUUCUUCUUCUUGUUUCUUUCCAUCUCUUUUAGCUACCGAGCAUUUCUUCCUGCGUAACGCUGCUGCUGCCCUGUUUUCCUUGAUCCAGACUUUUCGACACGGGCUUUGCGGACAGCUUGUUGGAUCUGCUUCUCGUGCUCUUUGAGCAAAUCUUCAAGAUUUCCACCAGGAGGCAUCAAUGGUCCUGAGUAAUGGAUUCUGUUUUUCCUUGGUGCGUUUCCCUGACACAGCCCAAGGCACACUCAACAAUUACAGUACAUACCAAACGGUUUAAGGUACACAAACUAACUAGAGGGGAAAAAAGAGGCUUACGGUUGAGUAAUCUCUGUUGGGAUCUCUUCUAUAAGAAGAGCCAGACAAUUCUCCUGUUUGUGAUAUCCUAGACUUCAGCUCUGCAUUAGUUUGUCUUUUCAUGCUUCCACCUCUGUUCCAUUCUUUACCAGCAACAAUUGGAUGAACCAUUGAAGAAGCAUGAGCGUGACCAUUCUGCUGGAUCCCUCUUCUGGGUGGUUCGAUCCUAAACCCGGUGCCACCUUCCUCG
rnacentral:lncRNA from 1 species